ACGGUUUCAUAGACGGUCUAAGAAUACUACAUACAAAGUCUGAAAGAUAAAAGAUACACUGUUUCUGAAAUAAGUAAAGGAAAAGGAUAAAGGAAAAAUAGGAGGUGACGCCAAGGCCCGCGGACGUCUACAGGACUACCUCGGGUCACUUGUGUAGACUGAAGACAGCACCCUCACUGCGGUCCAAGUGCUCCGGUAUAAGUAUCUGCACACAAUGCAAAGUGUAGUAUCAGCACAACCGACCCCAUGUGAUGGUAAGUGCCUAAACUAACCUCGGCGAAGUAGUGACGAGGCUAGGACCAAACUACCAAAUAAACUUGUGUAGUUAAAUCAUAUACAGCAGAAAUAGAAGCAGAUAAUCAAAAUUAAAAUUGGGCGGGGGGAAACAUGCUGCGGGGAGUAACAAGUAACAACAGAUCGACAGUAGAGAAACAUAAGGAAUGCCAUAAAUCAAUUACCAGCAAAAAAAUAAGGAAAUAGAAGAAACAUGCACACAAGUAAUACCGUUGCAGGCGUGCAACCCGAUCCCAUUUCAUAUAUUACUGUUGCAGGCGUGCAACCCGCUCCCAUUUCACAUAUUACCAUUGCAGGCAUGCAACAUGCUCCCAUUUCUUAUAUUACCAUUGCAGGCGUGCAACCCGCUCCCAUUUCACAUAUUACCGUUGCAAGCAUGCAACCCGCUCCCAUUUUUUAUAUUACCGUUGCAGGCGUGCAACCCGCUCCUAUUUCUUAUAUUACCGUUGCAGGCGUGCAACCCGCUCCCAUUUCUUAUAUUGCCGUUGCUGGUGUGCAACCCACUCCCAUUUCUUUUAUCAACACCAAUCAAAUAAAAAAAGGGUCCUAGUAAGGGAUCAAUAAUAUCUGUCACACCUCCUUUUCUACACCCCGAAAGGGUAUAAGAGAGUUUUUUCUAAUUUAAUUGACAAUCGAAAUGGAAUUAUUUAUAUUAAAUUCAGAGCCGCCAAUUGGGAUAGUUUAUUGGUGUCCCAAGUCACCAGUUUAAAUUCCGAAUCGAGAAAAGAUUGACUCUAUUUACGGUCUGCGAACAAAGAAAUCCGGGUAAGAAAUUCUGUUAACCCGGGAGAAGGUGUUAGGCAUUCCCGAGUUCCAUGGUUCUAACACGGUCGCUUUGAUCAUACUUGGAUUAAACAAAUUGUCUAAUUACUCAUUCUAGGACCUAUGUGCAUUUACUUCUUUUAAUUAAGAACUUAUCUUGAAACGGGUCACGCGUAUGUGUGCCCAUAAGUUUGGCGCUUCAAAAAUCAUGUCACGCGAACGUGUCAACAAUUAAUAACGCUUUAUUAUUAUUUAGAAAAUUUGGCUGAAGUUGCGCGAACGCAUACUCUAGUUUUGUUUUUAGAAAUCGUAAUCAUGUCACGCGAACAUGUCCACAACCACGAUAGUAUAUUAAACGUGCCUAAAGCAAACUACGAACAUUUGUCAUUUUUACAUCUAAGUUAUGAAAUUAAUACGAGGGCAAUGUAUGAUUAAAAGGUGGACGGCACACCUCGGACUAUAUGAACUAAAUUUAAUUAACGGCCCAUUAGCACCCAUUUUAUUAUUAAGAAAGUUUGAUCGAAGUAGCAGGAACGCAUACUUCGAAUCGAUUUUUAGAAUUGUAAUCAUGUCACGCGAACGUGUACACGGUCACAAUUGUAUUUUAAACGCGCUUAAAGGCUUUCCACGAAUAUUCGUUAUUAAUAACUAAUAAAAGUACUUUGUGAGGGCCAUAGGUGAUGUAGUUAAAUGACACACCUCAUUUUAUUCCUUAAGAUACAUUUUUUAACUAGGCCCAAAGACACUUGCAUUUGCAACGGUUUGAACUUAAAAGGGAUUAUUAGUUAUGAGCACAAUUGGGCCAUGGAUUGUUUCAAAGAAAUGGGCUAGCAUAUAAAUUCCUUGAGCUAUUAAAGUCAGGCGACCAAAUUUACUCAAAUGACAAAAGGGUUAGGCCCUGGAGACGAACCCAGAAAUGAAAGGAAGGGGGCUUGAGACACAAGGGCCGGUUUGGGAUAGGUAAUUUCACUUGGGCCAAUUACAGGCCAGACCAUUUUUAAGGGAUGCCCUUAAACACCCUUACCCUUUGGGCUACUUUGUUCUGCAGCCCCUGAACUAUUAAUUACCUUGAGUGGUCCAAACACUAUUAAGCUAAAUCAAUUGCAUCAAAGUAAAUAAAGGAUAUUCAUGAUCAAAUUCAGAUCCAAACUGCAAAAAAUUGAACACUAUACAAUCAACGAAAUAAAGGUUCCACCCAUUUGAAAGUUAAAAUCACUGUUAACUGCUACUGAAUUCAUACGUAGUAGGGUAUUCUAGAUAUUUGAAUCAAGUGUUAUAAUGGUGCAUAGCUCCUAAGUUCAUUCAGAUGUUUAAAACCAAAGUUUAAAACAACAAAAACAUGAUGAGGGCUAACCUUGAACUUAACAUCACUACUAGGGUGGACCAAUUCAAUCAAAAUCCAACAAAGAAAUGCUACUCGUCUAAAUUAAAUCCAUAGUAUGACAAUCCAAAUACACAAGUACUCUAGAAAGAAUUUAAUAAAGCUAGGACCAAAAUGACAAAUUAAAAUCCAAAUACAACCCGAAAAUGUAUUGUCCAUUGCAUGACUAAAUACAGUAAAAUUCAAAUAGUAAAGCUAAUUCAAUAAGGAAAACAUGAGUAGUCUUUUAAGAAUAUGGACUAAUAUUCAGCAAGUUCACAUUUAUUCACAAGUGUCCAAAUUGAUUACAUAACUUCAAAAUGCACUUCACAUGUUAAUGAGGUCCAAGAAGUACCUGAGACAAAAUUUAGAGCUAAAGAAAGAUGAGGAGAUUAACAACAGUAGGAGAAUGUAAAUCAACAAUUCAACACAACAAUUCCAGCUUCUUUAGAUCAUUUUUGGACCAGAAAUCCUUUUAAAGUUUCACCUAUUGCUAAUAAUGAAAUCAAGGGCCAAUUCCCAACAAUUUUCGACCCAAAAAGAUGCAGAAUAUUUUUGUUUUUUCAAGGUGUGAAUGGCUGCCCAAAAAUGAAGGGAAAAAGGUCUUUAUAUAGGCAUGCCUAAGGCAGCCCUAGCCUAGCUAACCCAUUCCCUUUCUACCCCUUCUUUUCUUGGGCAUUUUACCCUUUUUACCCUUUUAAAAUAUCUGACCCUCCCUUAUCUCUUAACAAGCCAGGUCUAAACUUAUCCUCUAGAAGCUCCCCCCCCCCCAACAUAAAAAGAUUCCCCCAACCCUCAAAUACCUAAAGCACCCUUGAUACCUUGAAUACUAAAAUGAACGGCCUUUUUGAAACAAGUCAGAGAUGACCAAAAAACCCAAGGUUGAACUUAAACCAACCAAACUGAGCAUUGAGGCUCAAGUCCUGGCCCAGACUGAACUAAAGUUGAAUUGAAAGAAAAGGACAAAGAAGAAAAGAGUCGGAAUAAAGAAAAAAGAAAUCUGAUUCAAACAAGCACUUUAAUAAGAUAAGUACUAGUUCAAAAUUACUGACUAUCCCGAAAUAAAUUCGGCCAAACCGAAUCCUAAUCAUGUGAUUAAACAGUUAGAAUUACUGAUUUUAAACGAACUAAAACUAAUUCAAACAAACAAUAAACAAGAAUCAGAAAAACAAACACGAAGAAAGAAAAGGAAAAGGAAUGGUACUGGUUUUAGCCGGAAUAAAUCGACGAAUGAAGAGACUCGACGGAGGUGACGAACUUGGCCGGGUGUCAGUGGUCUGGUCAGAAGCCGGUGACCCUCAAAAUGAGCCAAGACUUUCGUUAAUCAAUUAUUCUUAACGAGAACAAUCGCUUGACACAAGUCUCGAGUCAGAUCGAGCCUUGGAAGCAUAAUAAAAUCGGAAUUAAGGGCGGCUUAAGUUUUUUUUUUUAAUUUCAUAUUUGAGAUUAAAGAGAAAAGGUGGGGAUUUUGGGGGAAUUGGUGUUGGAUUAAUAUUCAAAGGGGUUUGGGGAUUGUGGAGGAGGAAUUUGGAAGUGAUUGGGUGGUCAGUCGCCGGUGGGGACGAUGGAGGAGUUUAGGGCGGCGGAUUCUAGGGUUCUAAGACGAAGAAGGGACUGAGGGGGUUUGAAGGGUUUGGGGGUAGGUUCAGAUAUAUAUAUGGGGAUGGGUAGGUUAGUUCCCACACGUUAGAUUUAAG
rnacentral:lncRNA from 1 species